rnacentral:miRNA from 1 species
CCAAGCGGCUGCCCUGGGAGAGG